GUUAUAUGGUCAAGUGAAGAAGCGCAUACGGUGGAUGCCUUGGCAGUCAGAGGCGAUGAAAGACGUGGUAGCCUGCGAAAAGCUUCGGGGAGUCGGCAAACAGACUUUGAUCCGGAGAUGUCUGAAUGGGGGAACCCAGCCAUCAUAAGAUGGUUAUCUUGUACUGAAUACAUAGGUGCAAGAGGCGAACCAGGGGAACUGAAACAUCUAAGUACCCUGAGGAAAAGAAAUCAACCGAGAUUCCCUUAGUAGUGGCGAGCGAACGGGGACUAGCCCUUAAGUGGCUUUGAGAUUAGCGGAACGCUCUGGAAAGUGCGGCCAUAGUGGGUGAUAGCCCUGUACGCGAAAAUCUCUUGGUCAUGAAAUCGAGUAGGACGGAGCACGAGAAACUUUGUCUGAAUAUGGGGGGACCAUCCUCCAAGGCUAAAUACUACUGACUGACCGAUAGUGAACUAGUACCGUGAGGGAAAGGCGAAAAGAACCCCGGAGAGGGGAGUGAAAUAGAUCCUGAAACCGUAUGCGUACAAGCAGUGGGAGCCCACUUUGUUGGGUGACUGCGUACCUUUUGUAUAAUGGGUCAGCGACUUAUUUUCAGUGGCGAGCUUAACCGAAUAGGGGAGGCGUAGCGAAAGCGAGUCUUAAUAGGGCGUCUAGUCGCUGGGAAUAGACCCGAAACCGGGCGAUCUAUCCAUGGGCAGGUUGAAGGUUAGGUAACACUGACUGGAGGACCGAACCGACUACCGUUGAAAAGUUAGCGGAUGACCUGUGGAUCGGAGUGAAAGGCUAAUCAAGCUCGGAGAUAGCUGGUUCUCCUCGAAAGCUAUUUAGGUAGCGCCUCAUGUAUCACUGUAGGGGGUAGAGCACUGUUUCGGCUAGGGGGUCAUCCCGACUUACCAAACCGAUGCAAACUCCGAAUACCUACAAGUGCCGAGCAUGGGAGACACACGGCGGGUGCUAACGUCCGUCGUGAAAAGGGAAACAACCCAGACCGUCAGCUAAGGUCCCAAAGUUAUGGUUAAGUGGGAAACGAUGUGGGAAGGCUUAGACAGCUAGGAGGUUGGCUUAGAAGCAGCCACCCUUUAAAGAAAGCGUAAUAGCUCACUAGUCGAGUCGGCCUGCGCGGAAGAUGUAACGGGGCUCAAACCAUACACCGAAGCUACGGGUAUCACGUAAGUGAUGCGGUAGAGGAGCGUUCUGUAAGCCUGUGAAGGUGAGUUGAGAAGCUUGCUGGAGGUAUCAGAAGUGCGAAUGCUGACAUGAGUAACGACAAUGGGUGUGAAAAACACCCACGCCGAAAGACCAAGGUUUCCUGCGCAACGUUAAUCGACGCAGGGUUAGUCGGUCCCUAAGGCGAGGCUGAAAAGCGUAGUCGAUGGAAAACAGGUUAAUAUUCCUGUACUUCUGGUUAUUGCGAUGGAGGGACGGAGAAGGCUAGGCCAGCUUGGCGUUGGUUGUCCAAGUUUAAGGUGGUAGGCUGAGAUCUUAGGUAAAUCCGGGAUCUUAAGGCCGAGAGCUGAUGACGAGUUACCCUUUGGGUGACGAAGUGGUUGAUGCCAUGCUUCCAAGAAAAGCUUCUAAGCUUCAGAUAACCAGGAACCGUACCCCAAACCGACACAGGUGGUUGGGUAGAGAAUACCAAGGCGCUUGAGAGAACUCGGGUGAAGGAACUAGGCAAAAUGGCACCGUAACUUCGGGAGAAGGUGCGCCGGUGAGGGUGAAGGACUUGCUCCGUAAGCUCAUGCCGGUCGAAGAUACCAGGCCGCUGCGACUGUUUAUUAAAAACACAGCACUCUGCAAACACGAAAGUGGACGUAUAGGGUGUGACGCCUGCCCGGUGCCGGAAGGUUAAUUGAUGGGGUUAGCUAACGCGAAGCUCUUGAUCGAAGCCCCGGUAAACGGCGGCCGUAACUAUAACGGUCCUAAGGUAGCGAAAUUCCUUGUCGGGUAAGUUCCGACCUGCACGAAUGGCGUAACGAUGGCGGCGCUGUCUCCACCCGAGACUCAGUGAAAUUGAAAUCGCUGUGAAGAUGCAGUGUAUCCGCGGCUAGACGGAAAGACCCCGUGAACCUUUACUAUAGCUUUGCACUGGACUUUGAAUUUGCUUGUGUAGGAUAGGUGGGAGGCUUUGAAGCGUGGACGCCAGUUCGCGUGGAGCCAUCCUUGAAAUACCACCCUGGCAACUUUGAGGUUCUAACUCAGGUCCGUUAUCCGGAUCGAGGACAGUGUAUGGUGGGUAGUUUGACUGGGGCGGUCUCCUCCUAAAGAGUAACGGAGGAGUACGAAGGUGCGCUCAGACCGGUCGGAAAUCGGUCGUAGAGUAUAAAGGCAAAAGCGCGCUUGACUGCGAGACAGACACGUCGAGCAGGUACGAAAGUAGGUCUUAGUGAUCCGGUGGUUCUGUAUGGAAGGGCCAUCGCUCAACGGAUAAAAGGUACUCCGGGGAUAACAGGCUGAUACCGCCCAAGAGUUCAUAUCGACGGCGGUGUUUGGCACCUCGAUGUCGGCUCAUCACAUCCUGGGGCUGAAGCCGGUCCCAAGGGUAUGGCUGUUCGCCAUUUAAAGUGGUACGCGAGCUGGGUUUAGAACGUCGUGAGACAGUUCGGUCCCUAUCUGCCGUGGACGUUUGAGAUUUGAGAGGGGCUGCUCCUAGUACGAGAGGACCGGAGUGGACGAACCUCUGGUGUUCCGGUUGUCACGCCAGUGGCAUUGCCGGGUAGCUAUGUUCGGGAAAGAUAACCGCUGAAAGCAUCUAAGCGGGAAACUUGCCUCAAGAUGAGAUCUCACUGGAACCUUGAGUUCCCUGAAGGGCCGUCGAAGACUACGACGUUGAUAGGUUGGGUGUGUAAGCGCUGUGAGGCGUUGAGCUAACCAAUACUAAUUGCCCGUGAGGCUUGACCAUAUAACACCCAAGCA
rnacentral:rRNA from 1 species